CGUAUUUUGUUUUGGCGUGGGGGGGGAGGGGGUGUUCCUUCAGCAUUUAGCGCUUAGAAGCAAUAGAAACACUCGGUUUUGUCCCUUGAAUUCUUGUUCACAACUGAAUACUGGAAACAAGACUAGAAAAACAUCGAGUUGCCGAUAUUCAAUUAUCUUGGUUCUAACUUUGAGAUGCUUGUUUCUAGUCGGUUUCUAAGCAGGCGAAAAGAUUCGUUAGCAAGGGAACACAAUCAGAAACAAGUGUGAAUUCUCAUGCGCCAGGCAUUGUUGCUGUCGUUUUGGUUGAAACAUUUGUUGUUGCAGUUUCUAAUCCUUCUCCUAUGGCACUUUCUCGAUCAUCAGCCAUUUCUUGUGCAGAGCCUGCUGUAUCAACAAGUGCAGUUGGUAUUCAACAUCAGGCACUAGCUUCUCCUUCUCCACUUAUCGCUGUUUUAGGAAGUACUGGAGUGCCUGUAGCUUCAAUAAAUGCUAACCUGGCAUCAAUGCAAAUGCUUAGAUUACUCCUUUAAAUCUUGAACUUUUUUUCUUUUUGAUAGAGAAAGACGGAGUUAUUUUGAGUCUUGCUUUUGUCUAUUACAGGAACCACUUCGAAAACAUGGCGUCUCAAAAAUUUCUAUUUGAUGAAGAGGUUGGUUUCAUCAACCAUUCUGGUGCAGAGCCUGCUGUAUCAACAAUUAUAGUUGGUGUUUAACAUUAGGCGCUAGUUGGAAGGAGUACUAGAAUGCCUGUAGAUUCAAUGAUUGCCAACUUGGCAUCAAUGCAGAUGCUUAGUUUACUCAUUUAGAUCUUGAACAUUUUUUUUUUUUUUUUUGAUGGGGAAAGAUGGAGUUAUUUUGACUUUUGAGUGCUUGCUUUUGUCUAUUAUGGGAGCCACUUUGAAAACAUGGCGUCCCAAGAACAAGGUAAAAAACAAGUCUCGUGAGCACUAUUUACAACCUUGUUUAUGGACUGGGGCUCGUUAAUAAGUAUUACAAAUCCGUAAAACAAAUUCAAGCGCAGAUGGGAGUUCUGUUAAAGUAAUUUUAGCCGAAAUAUAUGAAAGGUGGGUAACCUUAGUGGGUAGGUUAGAAUAUUUUUGGCAGUGAAAUUAUGGGAACUCAGCAGUAAUAUGAGAAAUUUCCAGAAUAGGCUUUUUCUGUCCAUGCUCAGAUAUAAUAUUAUGAUUUUUUAUUCAGAGGCAAUAUUCCUAGCUCCAAUCCACAGUCCACAGUCCACUUCCAAUUGGCAAGAGCAUGCAUCUGCUGAUGCGAAAAGGUACUAUCCUGUUAUAGCUGUAGGUGUAAAUAUUUAUUGUUUUCUCCAGUAGUGUUUUUCAAACCGUCGACCAAAUGCUUUACUUAAAUAGUUCAUUAUUUUGAUUGAUAUUUUCAUUUAUCUUUGAAAAGGUUGAUGUCAUUUUGUGUUUCUUCUUCUCUUGGUUGUUUGCCCUCACUGAUAAAUACAUUUUAUUAGAUACUACUAAUGCAAGAAGAGGUGGAAACAGUCUGUUUGGGAGAAGCCACCAGAAUUGAUAUCCCCAAUAGAGUUGAAUUGUGUUACUGAUUGGUUUAAAUUGCUGUAUUUAAAUUUUCAUCUCCCGUUACCUAUUAAACGUGCCAUUAAAUGUUCUCUGUAUGGAUGCCAACAAUUGUAGUUAGAUCAAUGAUAUUUGUUUUAUGAGAUUUAUCAUUUUAUUUGCAUGUACUUCCAUUGGUUUGUAGAUAUCACAGCAUGUUUGUAGAAAUUUAAUGACUGCUCUAUAUGCUCACUAUGAAGGCGCUUCACUUUCUCAAGGUAGGCAACAAGUUUGGAGCUAUAGCCGAAAUGUCUCUUGCUGGUAUUAUUUCAUAAGUUAGUUUUUUCUUAUGUUGUAGCUCUUUCGCUUCUUCGACAUUAGCUGGGGUGGCUUUGGGCCCAGUUCCAAUAACACUUGUUGUUGCAGUUUCUAAUCCUCUCUCCCGGCGCUUUUUGGAUCAUCCGCCAUUUCUGGUGCAGAGCUUGGUGUAUCAAAAAGUGUAAUUAGUAUUCAACGUUAGGCACUGGUUGCUCAUUCUCCACCUACUGUUGUUUCAGGAAGUACUGGAGUGUUUGGCGCUUCAAUAAAUGCCAACCUGGCAUCCAUGCAAAUACUGAGUUUACUCUGGAGUCACUUCGAAAACAUAGCGUCUCAAGAAUUUCAAGUCGAUGAAGAGGUUGGUUUCAUAUGCCAUUCUGGUGCUGAGCCUGCUGUGUCAACAAGUGCAAUUGGUGUUCAACAUCAGGCACUAGCUGCUCCUUCUCCACCUACCACUGUUUGAGGAAGUACUGGAGUGCUUGCCGCUUCAAUAAAUCCCAACCUGGCAUCAAUGCAAAUACCUAGUUUACUACUUUAAAUCUUGAACUUUUUUUCUUUUUGAUGGGGAAAGACGGAAUUAUUUUGAGUGCUUGCUUUUGUGUAUUACAGGAGCCACUUUGAAAACAUGGCGUCUCAAGAAUUUCAUUGAAACAUUUGGGACUGGGCCGUUACAACUGAAGUGUCUUUUGUUGGUAUUAUUACAACAAGGGAACACAAUCAGAAAUGAGUGUGAAUUCUCAUGCUCCAGGCAUUGUUGCUGUCUUUUCCAUUGAAAGAUCUGCAGUAGCUAUCUCAAUUAGCUCCUCAACUUCUUCAACAUUCGCUAGGGAGGCUUUGGGCCCAGUUCUUGUGACACCUGCUGUUGCAGUUUCUAAUCCUUCUCCUGUGGCCCUUUCUGGAUUAUCAGUCAUUUUUGGUGCAAAGCCUGGUGUAUCAACAAGUGUAAUUGGUAUUCAACAUCAGGCACUAGCUGCUCCUUCUCCACCUACCACUGUUUCAGGAAGUACUGGAGUGUGUGCCGCUUCAAUAAAUGCCAACCUGACAUCAAUGUAGAUACUUUGUUUACUCCUUUAAAUCUUGAACUUUUUUUCCUUUUGAUAGGGAAAAAUGGAGUCAUUUUGAGUGCUUGCUUUUGUCUAUUAGAGGAGCCACUUUGAAAACAUGGGGUCUCAAGAAUUUCGUGGUGAUGGAGCUUCUAUACCGGACAUUGAGGUACAAUUAUUUGCUUCAGGAUAUGUUUUCUAAAAGGCUUUGAUUGGACUAGUAAUUUUAAUCAUGUCAGAGUUUCCUGCAUGCUGGUUGCAUAUUUUGGAGAAGAGCACAGGAUUUUCUUUCUCCAGAAAGCGCUUGUCAUCUUAAAUUUUUUUGUGAUAAUCUCUAUCUAGCUCAGGUUGCUGUUUAUAACCUGGUCACUCUUGGUUAGCCCAUUUUCAAGACACCUAAACCCUCUUGCAGUAAGCUUGUAUCGACCUAUAUCUUUACUUAUUGAAUUUAUAGAUGAGCCUGUGCUGUGAUUAUUCUGAUCAUGGUUCCUUACACCA